AACCUCAUUGUCAAUUACAGGUUUUUAUCCCAUUUAAUGUGUGGGGGUGCCAUUGGUGCUUAUUGGUGGUUAAUAACAUCAAAAAAGAGAUCCAGAUUCUCAACUCCUUAGCUGGUGUACCACACUUCCGCGAUGAGAAGAAGGAAAUAACUAUGGUGAAGAACAUACAAGCAUGUAUUGAGGCAGCAGUUGAAGCUGGUUUCCUAACACCUACAUAAUCUGUCGACCUUACUGCAUGGGAAAGAGUGCCAUACACUAACAUACCCCAACAAAAUGAUAGCAAGUCUUGUGGUAUCUAUGUUAUCAAAUAUAUGUUGGAAUGGAACGGAAAUCAAAUGCGUAACAAUUUCACACAGGAUCAAAUGGACAUUUUCCGAAGAAAGAUAUGUUGCAGGCUGUUGCGUUCAGAAAACAACAAAUGUCGAAAAGCAUCUUACAAGGAGCCUCUCACAAAAGAACUUUACUUGGCUGCAAAUCCAAAAGUUAGUGGAUCAGAUGGUGAAGUCUGCAUACUCGGCACAAGAACUGGUAACAUAAACCACAAGACCGGGAAAAAGUCAGAUAAUAAGACCAACAACCCAAAUGAUCAAGCAAAACCGUCAAAAGGCCAGAAGAAACGGGGCCGACCAAAGAAAGAUGGGCCCGGUACCAAGGAUACCACAAAAAAUGGAACCAACAUAAGUGAGAUGUCAACUGUUGCAGGUGAUCCUGGUGCUAACAAAAGAAUCUCCAAUCCAAGCCAGUACAGGAAGAGUCCUUACAGCAAAUCCUAGAGUGUCAUCACUACUUCAGUUCUACCAGCAUCUUUUACCAUGGAGUUCAGGCUUGUGCUUCCAUUGGCUACGAGCAUCAUGUGCUUUAGUUUAAACUUGUAUAGAGAUAAAGUCAUAUUAUUGAUUACAUUGUUACUUUUAGUGGGACUAUAAUUUUUCAUCCUUCAAUAGCUCAUUUUUUUCCAACACGAAUGUGUAAUAUCUUUUCAUCUUUUCUAAAAAAAAUGAGUUAUUACCAUCUUAGCACAUUGUUAUCGAGACUGGUGGAUAAACACCAAAGGUGUAUUUCAAGUGUAAGAGGUACUGCGAUCAGUCAUAUUAAUCUAGUGAUUUUUCAAACCUU